AGGGUCCUGUUGUGUUUUUCUUUUACUGUACAUGCAUAUUCACAGACAUAUGUACACCCAAUUGGGCUGUAUCUGAACAAAGAAUUUUUGUUUUGUAUGCUGAGAGCUCUAGCUGUAAUAGAUUACAGGAUUAAAACUCAUCUGUGGAAUCAAGAGUUCCCUGUAAUCACAUCCAAACAGACUUCAAUCAAAUCUCAGGCAUAUGAAAGCCUCUUAGUUUCAGAUGUAUUUUAAAA
rnacentral:lncRNA from 1 species